GCGAGAACUUGUUUUUCCGGGAUGGAAAUGACAGUGUUUCGGAAGAGCUGUUGGUUUCAAACUAUUUAGAGCUUGGAAGUUCCAAGAAAGACACAGAUUCGUCCCCCGCUAAGCCAGCACUUUUACGGGAUCGCUGUGGGGCCGGAUGGCUUCUAGACUUCCGGGUGAUUCCGGGAGAUGGGGGACGCCUUGCAGUAAGCGUCUUUGCUUCUGGAAACAUCUCGGAUGUUCCCUAGAGUCUAGCCUAUCUGGUGCCAAUACAAGAAUGUGUAGCUACUAUACAAUGGAUUUCAAAGUACCCAAAUCAAUGGAGUGAGGAGGACAUGCAGCUUACUAUAUAAGUCUCUCUCUAUAUAUAUGUUUGUUUGUUUGUUUUGGAGAUGGAGUCUCAGGCUGUCACCCAGGCUAGAGUGCAGUGGCACAAUAUUGGCUGAC
rnacentral:lncRNA from 1 species